GGUUGUGUGGUUUAGAUGGUUAUAAUUCUGCUUAACAUCAACGUGUUCGCAGACGGUCCCAGGUUCAGUCCUGGCACAAUCA
rnacentral:tRNA from 1 species